AAACGCUGAAGGCAUCUAAGCGUGAAGCCCCCCUUAAGAUGAGAUAUCCCAUUCGAAAGAAGUAAACCCCCUUGAAGACGACGAGGUAGAUAGGGCAGAGGUGGAAGUGUAGCAAUGCAUGGAGCUGACUGUUACUAAUCGGGUGAGGGCUUGACCAAG
rnacentral:rRNA from 1 species